UACGGAGGGUGCAAGCGUUAUCCGGAAUCAUUGGGUUUAAAGGGUCCGUAGGCGGGCAUCUAAGUCAGUGGUGAAAUGCAGGGGCUUAACUCCGGCACUGCCAUUGAUACUGGAAGUCUUGAAUUAUUGUGAAGUGGUUAGAAUAUGUAGUGUAGCGGUGAAAUGCUUAGAUAUUACAUAGAAUACCGAUUGCGAAGGCAGAUCACUAACAAUAUAUUGACGCUGAUGGACGAAAGCGUGGGUAGCGAACAGG
rnacentral:rRNA from 1 species